UUUUUACUUAAUGAAUUAUUUAUACAAUUAAAAAUAUAUUUUAAAAUAGAAAACAAAUUAAAUUAAUUUUAAACUAAAAAAAUAAAUAAUACAUUACUUAAUUAAAAAACAUAAAAAUUUAAUUUAAAAAAUAACAUUACAUAUAAAAUAAAUAAAUAAAAAACUAAAACUAAAACUAAAUAACAAAAUUAAAAAAAAAAAUCAUAUAUUUCUUCUUCGUUCCUUCUCCUCCAUCUUGUUCCAUUCUCCAUUUCCAGGAACCUUGACUACUGACCCCAAGCAUCGUUGCCCCAGUCGACCAAGCGCCAAAAGAGCCUGAAGCAUUACCAACCCCGUUCUAGAUUUGGGUCAUCUGAUUUGCGCCGUCGUCAUACUAGAUAUGGGUCGUCUGCGUUGUCACUGAGCCCCCACACCCAGCCCCAACGUCUUUUCCUUCCACCCAUCCAUAGUCGUCCAUGGAAGUCCAUCCCGGAUCUGAGAAGCAAUUGAUAUUCAACACCUUCAACGGGGACGUCAGCUUGGUUGACGGUUUUUUUGGGCAAAAGUAAGGAUGAGGAUGACUUUGAUUUUUUUUUUCCUUUUUCUUAUAUGGUAAUCUCAGAAUUUGUAUGGGUUUUCUAUUUUGGAAAUGAAAUUUUGGUGUUAAACUUUGAUUUUGUGAUAUUUUAGUGAUGGUAAAGUUUGCAAAGAUGAAGAUGACGUGGUUGUGAUAUGGAUUACCCAGAGAUCAAUAACGUGGCGAUAAAGGUGACAAGUGGCAGUGCAUGGUCAGUAAAAGACAUAUUAAUAGUCAAUAAAUACAUUGACUCCUCAUAGUUGUGAUAAAGUGACCCGGUAGACUGAUGAAGAGUUUGGACUGCUUGAAAGAUGUCAUAACCAAGCCUAGUGCAUCCUAGGAGAUCCCAAGGGUGUGGUCCGAGGAGACCCCAAGGGGGUGGUCCUAGGAGAGCUAAGAAAAGUGCAUCCUAGGAGAUCCCAAGGGUGAGGUUCGAGGAGACCCCAAGGAGGUGGUCUUAGGAGAGCUAAGGAGAGUGCAUCCUAGGAGAUCCCAAGGGUAUGGUCAGAGGAGACCCCAAGGGGGUGGUCCUAGGAGAGCUAAGGAGAGUGCAUCCUAGGAGAUCCCAAGGAUGUGGUCUGAGGAGAGCCCAAGGGACUUUGGUCCGAGGAGAACCAAGAGAGUGGUCCUAGGAGACCCCAAGAGAGUGGUCUUAGGAGACCCCAAGGAUAUGGUCCGAGGAGAGACCAAGAAUUUGGUCUUUACGCAUAUGUCCAACCAGUGCAUGGUUGUCCAAAUAAAGAAAUGGCAUGCUAGAGGAGAGUGUCAUGUUAGAGGAGAGAAGUGCAUGUCCAGCACUUGCAUGUCCUACCAGCAAGUGUGUGUCCGACCAACAUGUGUGUGAUUGACCAGAGUGGAGGUGAGGUGGACCAACUAGCUAGAGGAGGACUAAGUCAAGAUUCCCAGAAAACAACUUCAACAAGAUACGCGGGAAUCUCUCAUUCUUCCCACAAAUGGGGAGUUUUGUUACAUUUUGAAUGUUUUUUGUAAUUUAAAUGUAAUAAAUAUAAUAAAAUAUCCCGAUUCUAGGGGAUAUCGGAUGUAUGACCCUAAGCCUAUAAAUAGAGGGCUUAUGGGAUUAGAGAGGGGCUUCUGCUGCUUCUUUCUAGACUUUUGGGUCUGAGUAUUCUAGAGAGAGAAAAUUUGGGUCUGAGUAUUCUAGAGAGAGAAAGUGCUGGUAUUUGAAAUGAUUCUUGUAUUUAUGCAAUCUGUACUGAAGAAACUCAGUUGGCUCAGUCCAUCUGAUUUUGAGUACAGAUCUAUAAUCACAACUCUAAAUGGAUUAGGCUAUUACCGACUGAUCGGGGCUGAACCACUAUAAAAAUCUUGUGUAUUAUUUACUUUUCUUGAUAAAA